CCUUGAAAAGCCCCCGCAGGUCUGCUUUCAGCAGCUUUGCUGUGGGUGACGUUACACUGAUGACUUAGCGAAGCCUCACCUUUGACCGAGACCUGGGACACACAGAGCCCACGGCCUCAGAGAUCAUUAACACACCGAGGGAGGGAGAGAAGUUACAGGAAGUCUGAGAAAAUUAUUCACCAGGCACGUGAGGCUGACCACGCGUCAGGUUGGGCUCAGAAACAAGACCAGACCCUGUCCUCAGGGAGCCACGAGGCUCGCCCAAGACCAAGACAGCUCCCUGCUUGUGGCCCAGGAAAGCAAUAGAGG